UUGGAGGGCAAGUCUGGUGCCAGCAGCCGCGGUAAUUCCAGCUCCAAUAGCGUAUAUUAAAGUUGUUGCAGUCAAAAAGCUCGUAGUUGAAUUUCGGGAUUAGUACGUUGGUCGUGCCGUAGGUACGUACUGGUGUUACUGGUUCCUACCUUCUGACGAACCAUCAUGUCAUUAAUUUGGUGUGGUGGGGAAUCAGGACUGUUACUUUGAAAGAAUUAGAGUGUUUAAAGCAGGCUCGCGCUUGAAUACAUUAGCAUGGAAUAAUGAAAUAGGACGUUGAUCCUAUUUUGUUGGUUUCUAGGAUUGACGUAAUGAUUAAUAGGGAUAGUUGGGGGCAUUAGUAUUCAAUUGUCAGAGGUGAAAUUCUUGGAUUUAUUGAAGACUAACUACUGCGAAAGCAUUUGCCAGGGAUACUUUCAUUAAUCAAGAACGAAAGUUAGGGGAUCGCAGACGAUCAGAUACCGUCGUAGUCUCAACCAUAAACUAUGCCGACUAGGGAUCGGAUGAUGUUAUUUUUAAUGACUCAUUCGGCGCCUUACGGGAAAC
rnacentral:rRNA from 1 species